rnacentral:rRNA from 1 species
UGGGGAAUUUUGGACGAAUUGGGCGAAAGCCUGAUCCAGCAAUGCCGCGUGUGUGAAGAAGGCCUUCGGGUUGUAAAGCACUUUUGUCCGGAAAGAAAUCCUUGGCUCUAAUACAGUCGGGGGAUGACGGUACCGGAAGAAUAAGCACCGGCUAACUACGUGCCAGCAGCCGCGGUAAUACGUAGGGUGCAAGCGUUAAUCGGAAUUACUGGGCGUAAAGCGUGCGCAGGCGGUUUUGCUAAGACCGAUGUGAAAUCCCCGGGCUCAGCCUGGGAACUGCAUUGGUGACUGGCAGGCUAGAGUAUGGCAGAGGGGGGUAGAAUUCCACGUGUAGCAGUGAAAUGCGUAGAGAUGUGGAGGAAUACCGAUGGCGAAGGCAGCCCCCUGGCAAGUACUGACGCUCAUGCACGAAAAGCGUGGGGGAGC